GAAUUGAGACGUUAGUCAUGUCUGUUGAAAGGUUUGCUUUGUAUGUUUAUGCCACUGAAAAGCCAGUUUUGUCUCUUCGGUUUUUCUGUUGCAGGGCGGUGAGAAAGGUGAUCGACCUACGGGACAUAAUCUCGGUCACAGUAUGAGCGCACUUGUUGGGUUCUACAGCUUUCAGAAAUUCUCUUGUGGAAGUGGUGGAGAAGGCAACGACAUCACAAUCUCAUUCACUACAUCCACUGUCUCUUGUGUAUAUAUUCAGAUCUAUCCGUUUCUAUGCCAUCAAUGAGACAACGUGCCAUCUUUGUUGCAGCAAUUGAAGAAAAUUCAGAAGAGUCACCAGACAGAACAGUCACACAAACGUCUGUCACAAGCAAUACAAUCGAUAAGCUCUGACAUUCCUGCAUGGAAUGGCUACAGAAUCGAAAGCAAAGAAACAAACUUCAACAGGAGGAGAUAUGCCUGAUUGAGUGAAGAAAUUUGAAAUGGAACAUUCAGUUGUACGUGGUUUAGGAAGAUGGAGUGAGAUAGAAAGAUAAAGUCGGAUAGAAAGCUCUUCAUGUUCUCCGUCUAUCAGUAGGAAUAAUAGUGACACAUCAAAUGGUCUUCCUCUCCUGUCAUUGUGGUCACGUGAUGUUACUUAACCUGUCACGUGAUGUUACUCUACAGGUCACGUGGUGCUUGUAACGCUAUAGAUGAGAACAACCGUCUCAUAGUGUGAAGACUGAAUAUUUAAUUCUAGAUACUUUUAUUUGUUUAAGAGAUGUUUUGUGUUAUGAAAUAUAGAGUAGAAUGUAAAUAGUAGACAAUGAUAUAGAAUACUCUAAAAUAGUUAUGAUUCACGAGUAUUUCCGGGUAAGCCAGUG